rnacentral:rRNA from 1 species
AUACGGAGGGUGCAAGCGUUGUUCGGAAUUAUUGGGCGUAAAGAGCAUGUAGGCGGUCUGUUAAGUCUGGUGUGAAAGCCCGGGGCUCAACCCCGGAAGCGCAUUGGAUACUGGCAGACUUGAGUAUGGGAGAGGAAAGCGGAAUUCCGAGUGUAGGAGUGAAAUCCGUAGAUAUUCGGAGGAACACCAGUGGCGAAGGCGGCUUUCUGGACCAAUACUGACGCUGAGAUGCGAAAGCGUGGGGAGCAAACAGGAUUAGAAACCCCGGUAGUCC